AUUGAACGCUGGCGGCAUGCCUAACACAUGCAAGUCGAGCGAGCGGCGGACGGGUGAGUAAUGUAUGUGGCUCUGCCAUAUAGCGGGGGAUAACUACUGGAACCGGUGGCUAAUACCGCAUACUAUCCGAUUAACCCUUAUGGGAUUAGCUAUUAGGUGGGGUAAAGGCUCACCUAGGCGACGAUCUCUAGCUGGUAUGAGAGGAUGAUCAGCCACACUGGGACUGAGACACGGCCCAGACUCCGACGGGAGGCAGCAGUGGGGAAUAUUGCACAAUGGGCGAAAGCCUGACGCAGCAAUGCCGCGGGUAUGAAGAAGGCCUUAGGGUUGUAAAGUACUUUCAGCAGGGAGGCGUUACUCGCAGAAGAAGCACCGGCUAACUACGUGUCAGCCGCCGCGGUAAUAC
rnacentral:rRNA from 1 species